UACCCUGGGUCCCUCCUCUGCACAUGUCCACACCAUCUCAAUCUCGCCUCUCUGACUUUGUCUAAAACCGUCCCACCUGAGCUGUCCCUCUGAUAUGUUCAUUCCUAGUCUUGUCCAUUCUCGUCACUCCCUAAGAGAAUCUCAACACCUUCUGCUCUGCCACCACCA